AAACUUUCAACAACGGAUCUCUUGGUUCCGACAUCGAUGAAGAACGCAGCGAAAUGCGAUGAGUAAUGUGAAUUGCAGAAUUCCGUGAAUCAUCGAAUCUUUGAACGCAUAUUGCGCCCCCUGGUAUUCCGGGGGGCAUGCCUGUCCGAGCGUCAUU
rnacentral:rRNA from 1 species